rnacentral:rRNA from 1 species
CCAGACUCCUACGGGAGGCAGCAGUAGGGAAUCUUCGGCAAUGGACGAAAGUCUGACCGAGCAACGCCGCGUGAGUGAAGAAGGUUUUCGGAUCGUAAGACUCUGUUGGUAGAGAAGAACGUUGGUGAGAGUGGAAAGCUCAUCAAGUGACGGUAACUACCCAGAAAGGGACGGCUAACUACGUGCCAGCAGCCGCGGUAAUACGUAGGUCCCGAGCGUUGUCCGGAUUUAUUGGGCGUAAAGCGAGCGCAGGUGGUUUAUUAAGUCUGGUGUAAAAGGCAGUGGCUCAACCAUUGUAUGCAUUGGAAACUGGUAGACUUGAGUGCAGGAGAGGAGAGUGGAAUUCCAUGUGUAGCGGUGAAGUGCGUAGAUAUAUGGAGGAACACCGGUGGCGAAAGCGGCUCUCUGGCCUGUAACUGACACUGAGGCUCGAAAGCGUGGGGAGCAAACAGGAUUAGAUACCCUGGUGGUCCACGCCGUAAACGAUGAGUGCUAGAUGUAGGGAGCUAUAAGUUCUCUGUAUCGCAGCUAACGCAAUAAGCACUCCGCCUGGGGAGUACGACCGCAAGGUUGAUACUCAAAGGAAUUGACGGGGGCCCGCACA